CCUACGGGAGGCAGCAGUGAGGAAUAUUGGACAAUGGWGGCAAGUCUGAUCCAGCCAUGCCGCGUGCAGGAUGACGGCCCUAUGGGUUGUAAACUGCUUUUAUACAGGAAGAACACCACCUACGUGUGGGUGACUGACGGUACUGUAAGAAUAAGGACCGGCUAACUCCGUGCCAGCAGCCGCGGUAAUACGGAGGGUCCAAGCGUUAUCCGGAAUCAUUGGGUUUAAAGGGUCCGUAGGCGGGCUAUUAAGUCAGAGGUGAAAGUUUGCAGCUCAACUGUAAAAUUGCCUUUGAUACUGKUAGUCUUGAAUUAUAGUGAAGUGGUUAGAAUAWGUGGUGUAGCGGUGAAAUGCAUAGAUAUCACAUAGAAUACCGAUUGCGAAGGCAGAUCACUAACUAUAUACUGACGCUGAGGGACGAAAGCGUGGGGAGCGAACGGGAUUAGAUACCCCGGUAGUCCACGCCGUAAACGAUGGAUACUAGCUGUUGGAUUCUGUCAGUGGCUAAGCGAAAGUGAUAAGUAUCCCACCUGGGGAGUACGUUCGCAAGAAUGAAACUCAAAUGAAUUGACGG
rnacentral:rRNA from 1 species